AUGGCGAAUAUUGACAGCCUCCGGUUGCAGAAAAACUUUCCCAGUUUACCGGAGACUGAAACUUCUGAGCAAGCCCAAGAAACAGUUUUGAAAUAAGCAUGGUAAAUAUAGCGUGAAUAAAUUGAGUGGUUUAGGCCAUUGUCAUUUUACCUUGAUAUUUAAAACUAUAAAGUGCCCGUGUUUACGACGACGUUCGCGUAAAUUAAAAUAUUUUAAUGGAUAUUGAAUUUAUUCCUUACGUUUUAAAUUUAGACUGUUUAAUAUUACAUGCAUUAGAUGUUUUUAAAGAAACCUGUACGAUUGGUUAAGUGUUCAAUAUGCAGGAAAAGGAUCUAGUACGUUAAUGUAAUGAGGUCAAAUAAACGAAGGUAAUUGCAAUCUAUUUUUAGAUGCCGUAGCGAACAACGGAGCCGCGGCAAGAGUUCACGUUGAUUGACAGAUGAAUGCAAUUAUAGAUAUCCAGAUGUUUAUCCCCAAGGCGUAGUAUGUAGACUGCAGUUAUUAAGUGUGUGAAAAUCUCAUGUUACAAAAUUUUAUUUAGCUGUUGUGUAAAGUAGUUGUCAGAUACCUGUAUGCAAGUGAUGUGUGAUUAGAGCUGUUAUAAUUUGAGGUAAAACACAUGAUCACAGUGACACAUAGUUCAUACAUACUAACAUUUUCAUGAUUUGACCCCCUAUUGAAUUCAAUUUUAUAUAUUGUACAUGGUAGAAACUUAAAACUUGUAUAUCCACUGUUCAGAGUUUUUAUUGCAUGUUGUACAAUAAUUACAGUAUCAAAUUAAGGUACCAGGCUUAUAAUUUAAUACGCUCAGAUUAAGUAAAACUUAUGGUCUACAUAGGCUAUAAUGGGGAUUUGUACGCACAUUCGUCUAGUAAUGUGCCAGAGCAAGGUCAGUUAUUGUUGUAAGUAUUUUGUUUAUUGUUGUUAGUUUAUAUAUAUGCCUCUGUUUCUUCAGUCGAACAAAGCAGGGACUUCGUAGACCUACGAAAAUUUAUCGCCAGAAAACAGUCUCAUUUCAUUUCUUUUUUCUUUUGGUAUACUGAUGAUGAGCUUGUAGGCCUUGGUUUCUUUUAUUUGCAUAAUUCUUGUACUAAUUUUAAAAUUUACAAAAUAACUCAAGAAUACAGAAAACUGGCAUUAAGAAUAAAGGAUAUAAAGUGAAGACCCCCCCCCCUUUUCCCUCAAAGACCUUAUCUAUGAACCAUGACUAAAAAUCUAAACCUACAUUUCCUAAAGUAAGAAGGAUGAAUACAGAUUUUCAUUUAGUGUUCUUAUCGGCGGACGCUAUAUACAGUAACACAGUAGAAGUGAAUACAAAAAUGGCGAUUUUAAAUCAACAGACACAUGUCUGGUUUCAAAAGUUAAAUGGAUUUCAAGAUAAAGGAUGUUUUCUUGAGAGUUCAUUACAGUUCUCAUCUUUCUGUUAAUUACGAUUUUGUUGUGGAACUACGGUAAACGUUGUAAAUUGAGCUCGUAUGAUAAAUUGAUUAAAAUUGAAAGGCUGUCUGACCGAAUUUGUCAUUUUUGUGUUUACAAAUUAAUUUUGAGAAUUGUUAUGACCCAUUAGGAAAUCCCAUUAAAUACAACAACUAAUUAUGACACCUGUUGUGACUGUUGAUUAGCUUAGGGUCGUUAACUUGUCAUAAUAUGUCCCUAGGUAAAAUUAUAGAUUUUCAAAAAUUGAUCAGAAAAACUUCAAAAUUGGUAACCGAUAAUUUUUUCGGGUAAAAUUUGUUAAAAUUGGGAUUUUGACUAGUUUUACGAUCCCGAUAUCGGGAUUUGGGUUGAGGGAUGAAAAUCAGAAUAAUACUGCAAAAAUCAGGAUAGUUGGCAGGUCUGAAUGUUUCCAUCCUCAUCAUUACCCUUCCUAUAACACUCUUUAUAACUUUAAUAAUAACCAAAGCAAAACAUAGAAAUGUGUUUAAACUGAAACAGGAAGAAAUUUGUUUGUUUUGAAAAGUAAUUGAUAAAACCUCAAUAAGGCUCAUUUUACUUCAUUUUAGUUUACAACAAUUAUUAAAGUCAUAAGAAACAAGUGACCGGUGAAAAAUAAUGUUCUUCCAAUUCUUGAACCAAUGCAUACCAGGGCCGUAACUAGGGUUCGAAUUCAGGGGAGGCAGGGGUUUGGGGCCGCCGAUUAAGUCCCCUUAGAGUUGGAAAUGGGGUGCGCAGCCCCCCGCCGAUUUUUUUCUCUCUCACUCAAUGGCUAAAAAUGACCCGUUUUCCUUACUUUAAGAAACAUCAGUAUUGCUUGAACCUAGAAGCAAUUUUUAUGAAAAAACAAGCUGAGAUUACUGUUCGGGGUGAGCCAAGGCUCCGUCAUGAAGGCUGUACUUUGACCUAUAAUUAUUAACAUUAAAUACAGUGAUAGUGUACAUUGUGAACGCAGAUUUUUUUCUCAAUAUGGCUAAAAAUGACCUGUUUUCCUUCGAUUUCCUUACUUUAAGAAACAUCAGUAUUGCUGCAUCCUUGAAGCAAUUUUUAUACAAACAAAUAAUAUCUGUAUUUAAAGAUAUUUUUGUUAGAAAUCAAACUGGUUAGUUAAAAAAACAUAGAAAGCAAGAUAUUUUUUUUUAUCGAGGACCGUGAAUUUCAAUAUUGUUGAACGCCUACUGUUGAAAGCUGAACAGACAUGUAUAUAACUACAACAAGGGACUUUCUAUACUAGUAUAUUAUACUUAGUAUAGAAAGUCCCUGCUACAACGAAUGGGCCUGUUUAACUACUGAGGCAUAAUGCCAUUGACCAUAAUGUUCUCGUACGAUAGGGAGACGGUAAAAAAAAACGAUCCAACAGCUGAUUCAACCGGUAACGAAUUUCCGAUAUAAUAAAAGAUUCAUAAUACAAAGGAAACUUCCUCUGCUUAAUUGAGCCCCUAAAUAAAUAUGAAUAGUUAAGUUUUAUUCAAAACUGUCGAGGGCAAAGUUUCAUAUGUGUUCUCGUUCGAAUACUGAAUAACAGGUCGACGGACGGCUACACGAAAAAAAAUAUGUAAAACAAAUACUGAAACGGUUCACUUUCGAUGAAAAAUGCGGAAAAUGACAAAUAUAUAUCACGUAUCAUGAUAACACCGUUCAAACUGUAAACUUGUGUUGUUUAUAAUAUAAAUUCAACUUGAGUUCUUCGUGUACAUAUUUUAUUAGAUAUGUACUUCAAAAAAAAAAUUUGGUGUAGAAAAUUUAGGGGAGGCAACUGCCUCCCCUGCCUCAUAGGUAGUUACGGCCCUGCAUACAAACAUCAUAAACUUAGUCUUCUGUGCACGAAUUUAUCAUUUUUUUUUGUGUAAAUUUCAUAUAGUUGUUAAUUUUUUUUUCAAUUGGUCAGUGUUGUUGUGAAAAUAUGGCAGGUAAUUAAAGUUCUUGUUUUGAAGCCGAAGUUUAACGAUUGUCACCUGUUUGUCAACAAUCGACAAAAAAUCAAAAAAAAGCAUGGAAAUUGAGCACGUGUUAACAUGUAAUUCAGAUAAUAGUUUAUUUUAAGGACAUCCAUGCGUAUUGUGAUCACCGGAUUCCUGGAAGCAAUUAAAAUAAAGUAAACUUCUUCUAAAUAUGAAAAAAUUAAAGAAUUUUCUUUAAAAAAAAGUACAGGUACAUACAUGUAAGUUUUAUAAUGAAAACUAUCCAUUGAGUUUUAAAAAAACGUAUGCAUUUUUUUGUUGAUUUGAGGUUUCUUAUGACUUUAAUUAUUCAAAACAGGUAAUAAUGACGAAUGGGGUGACUUUUAUAUUGUUUGAUAAUCAAAGGAUACUGAAGCCAUACACAUGAUAGAUAUAUAUAAACCACAGGGACUUGUUAGCAAAUUAAAAUUAUGUUCAUCAAUGUUUUUAUGCCCCAUUUAUGGGUAUUAUAAUGAGAUCCAGAGGGGGGCAGAGAGGGCUUACUCGGACCCUUUGCUCUGACUUUUUUUUUGUUAAAUGAUUAAUCAGACUAGACUUAUUGAUCUUUGCCAUUUCCUGUGUCUUUAAUUUUUAUGGGACAAUUCUUUACUUAUAAAGAUAUUUUCCGCUGGUAUUUACUUAUCAUGGCAAAGUCGUGUGAUUAGCUAUGGUGGAGUGGACGAGUGCAUCGAAAAAACGUCACAGUCAUUUUGACCUGAAUGCCUGUUUCUAGACCAGACUACAACCUGCCUGCUUGGUGUGGCCUUUAUGCCUCCAUUUAUCGACCGUCAUUCAUAAAUUUGUUGUCAUUUCAGACUCAUUCGUAGCCUUUUGUUAAACAUUUGAAUAAAAUUGUGUGUUAAUCUGUUUUAACUUGUGUCGGUCAUGUUGCAAAUUUCAUCGAAUAGCCUGGCGUAUAUCUUGUUUACAACAAAAAAUCUAACGAGGUUAUGCUCUGACACUUAGCAUACAACAAACAAAAAUUUUCCAGGUCUAUUUUUUACUGACAAGUCUCACAUCAAAUAUAUCAGGACAUAGUUUUUUUUGAAUCCAUAUUAUCAUUUUAUGAUAGACAGUAAAUGGGGAGAAUAAGGCAUCAAAAAUGUCCUGCCCUUACACUUUACAGCAACUACAAAAUAUACAUGCCCCGCGUCAGAAACCGUUUAAAAAGUGCAUUUUACACUUAUUUUAUGUUUUUAGGCUAAAAUAGGUCCCAAAAAUUUUUAGUAAUGUAAUACAAAUAGACAGGAAAUAUGAAAAAAGAUUUGAAAAACGUGGAUAAACAAAAUUUAAAUCUGUUAACCCAGCCUCUGUGUAUAGAACAAGUUAUUUGCAAUUGCUUGCAGCUGACAUCAUUUAACUCACCUGUAUCAAUGGUCCCUGAUAUAGAUUAAGUUACUGUUUUUGGAAAGAUUAGAACUUGUUCUAAAUCUUUACUAAGGCACCGGCCUCCCUAACAACUCGACAGGUUAGCUACUGUUACUAAAUGUAUUCAGACUGAAAUAUAGUUCCCUAUGGUUCUCAUGUAUGUGCACAUAAUACACAUAUUUAAACUGAAAAAAAAUGGGUAUAUUAUUGGAGAAGUUCAUGUAACAAUGUAUGUAAUUAAGGUGUGUUGAUGUGCAGGUUUUAAAAAAAAACAACAUUUUGAUUAGGUAAUUGGGUAUUGAUACAAUACUAGUAUGAUUGACAACUGUCAUUAUCACUAAACAAUCAGAGACAAGGUAGCUAGACCUUUAAUUACAAUGCCCCCCCUUCUAAACUGUCAAUCAAAUUGACCACAUUACUUUAUUAUCAACCUCAGUCUUACAUAAUUAUACAGACCCUGCAAUAUACACCUCUUAAUAUACAAAUAUUUGACCUCAUAAUUGAAUACACAAAUGUAUAUAUUAGAUGUUAACAUCACUGAAGAGACAUAUAUUGUCGAAAUCUAGAUCUGGUGUACAAAAAAAAUAUUGACACCUUGUGUUUGUGGCAUAACAUCUUGGUCACAAGUUUAUCUUUUUCUGUUUAGUAUUAAAGGAGUAGGUCCGGUAAGGACUGAUUUUGGCCUAAAAUUUCAGGUUCAUCUAACGAAACAGUGGGGGCCCACUGACUGACCUAAGAGGUGGCCUGCUCCAGUCACGCUUCUAUGAUUCCCUAUAAAGGAACCAAAUUUUUUCCCAAAAAGGGGGGGCUAAAACCGCCUCUGCGAAAGAUUUUGGACACUUUUUAAACACUUAAGUGUCUAUUUCAAUUGAUUCAAUUUGUUUCUGUGAAAGAUUUUAACUGAUUAAGUCAUUAAAAAUGCUCCGAUUCAAGCUUAAAUAUGAAAAAUCUAUCAAAUAUAUAUGCAAAAAAUCGUCACUUUUCAGAUGGUUUUUGGCGAAAAUGAAAGUGGCCGCAUCCGUGUUCAUCCUCAACCUUUAUAUAUGUUAUAUAUUAUCAUCAAAUACAACUUACAUUUCAAUAUUAUGAAUGAACACGAAUGCGUCCACUUUCAUUUAAGAAGGAAACCGUCUAAAAUUUAACUAAAAUGCUAACAUUGUGAAGAUUUCAGUAAUUUAGCAUGACUUAAUGAUGUUAGUACCAGAUAUAUGUGCAUUGUAUUGUCAAAAACAGCCCAUAUUUAUGUAGCAGAAGCAUUGUACUGUCCAAUAAAUAGCUUAAAGAUAACAUUUUCACAAUUUUGUAAAACUGCUAUAUUUUGGGGCCGAAAAAGGGUCUUACUGAACCUACUCCUUUAUAUUAAGAUCCAUUUUGUUACAUCUCGUGAUCAAUUUUAUUGGCAAUCGCCAAUGGCAGUCAGCAGGGUUUAAGAACAUCAGUUGUUCGACCUGUUAGUCAAAUGUGUUUUGUUUAAAUAUACUUUUUCACUUUUUUGUUCUUUUGGAAAAUGUUGUUUGUGCUGUAUUUAGACCCUUCUACAAUGAAAUUUGUUUUACAUGCAAUAAAAAUUGCGGUUUUUAUCCAAAGCAAUCAUAGGUUUGAACCUAGUUUUCAAUUUAGACUCGUUUAGAUGUUUGAUAUAUAUAACUGUAUAAGGAUGAUAGAUUUAUUUAUUGCCAAUUACUUUUGAUCUACAUUACAUAAAGUGAUUCUGUAAAUUAUAUCUGAAAGAUAAAUGAUAAAUGGAUUAACAAUGGAUUAACAAGAUCUUUAAAAAAAUGAAAUGUGAAUAUAAAUAUGAAUAUAUAAAAGAUAUUCAAGUAAGGUCUAUAAUUUACUGGUCAAGUAGGAUAAACGGUACUGUAGUUCCUUCAGAAGAACAGAGUAAUAAAUCGGUUUAACUUUAGAAGUAAAUCGGUUUAUAUGAACAUAAAUUGACAGACUGACAGGUCGACAGGUUGACACUAUAAAGGUCAACAAGUUUAAAAGUUGACAGGUUGACAAGUGUUAUGGUCGACAGGUUGACAGUUUGAUAAGUGUUAAGGUCGACAGGUUGACAAAUGUUAAGGUCGACAAGUUGACAGGUUGACAAAUGUUAAGGUCGACAGGUAGACAGGUUGAAGGGUUUAAUUUUCCAAUUAAACAAGUAAAUAAAAGUACAUCAUCCAUUAAGUAAAUAUAAAUUAACUUCAUUUUUUAACCUUUUUUACAAGUAUUGACUUAUAGCUUUUAUAUCUGUUCGCUGUCAAUCUGUUACCAUUUGUACAUUUUACAUUUCUGAAAAUGAAAUUGUCAACCUGUCGACUUGUCGAUCUGUCUACCAGUCACUAAUAAUACUAUUUUACACUUUAUAAAUGCUCUCAAGUUGUCAAUCUGUCAUUUUGUCAACUUGUCAACCUGUCGACUUGUCAACCUGUGGACUUGUUAACCAUAACUUACUUGUUAUUAUAUUAAAUUAUCAACUUAUUAAUCUGUCAACCUGUCGACUUGUCAACCUGUCAACCACUUAUUCCAACCAUAACGUUUUUAAAAUUGUCAACCUGUCGACUUGUCAACCAGUAAAUUACUCAUUUAUUUCAGAUUAGUAAUAUAAUGAGUAAUAUUUCAAAAUUUAAACAGUGCCAAUUUUAUUACCCAUGAAUAAAUACGCGUAUUAAUUUAUUGCAAAAGCCGGAACUAUAGUACCGUAUAUCCUACUUGAGCCUAAUUUACUUGAUAAAUUUCCAAUAAUCAUCUGUAAUUAAUCAACAAUUUAGAUUAGUUCACUUUUUUUUUAUUAGGAAUUGGCUUGAAACAAAAACUGAGGAUUUUCUUAUCCCAGGCAUAGAUCACCUUAGCCGUAUUUGGCACAACUUUUUGGAAUUUUGGAUCCUCAAUGCUCUUCAACUUUGUACUAGUUUGGCUUUAUAAAUAUUUUAAUAUGAGCGUCAUUGAUGAGUCUUAUGUAGAUGAAACGCGCGUCUGGCGUACUAAAUUAUAAUCCUGGUUCCUUUGAUAACCAAUUAAAAUGUUAAAACUUUUAAUUAUAACAAAUCAUUGUUUAUUAGUUUGUUCCCAAUCAAUUAUUAUUUUAGUCAUUUGAAAUGUUUGAAUUUUUAUUAGAAGUGAAUAUAUAUUUUUGUAAUCAAGAAAGAAUCCUGAUUCAAUAAAAUAAGUUUUUUAAUUGUUUACGUUGAAAAAGUACAUUUUGAAUGCCCUGUGUUGAAAAAUACUUUAAAAAUUGAUCAAAAGGCACUCUACAACUUUUAAUAUUCAAUGUCAUAUAUAUAUAACCUCUGUUUCAACUUACAAAAUGCCCUAAAACAACAUUUUUGGAUUAUUUUUGUUGACACUUAAAAGUUUUUAGCUGUUGGUCUAGAUUUUAUGCCUUGCAAGGAUAGUUGGUAACAUUUACUAGAAGAAUUUUUGAUUUGCAAUUUUUUGUUUUUUUGAAACAUGUUCAGAACCCGCAACAUUAUUUCGAUAAGAUAUAAAAUGCAGUUUAAAUAAAAUUGUGCAAAUUAAGAGACCCAUAAUAUUUCAUUUGAGCUCCUUUUAUCCUCAUACUGGAAAAGCAUGUUUCCUUCUAAAGACCUGCUGUUAAUGCAACUUUCAGCAAUAGUGCUUUUUUUUUUUUAUUAAUGUUCAUUUUUUCCUUAAUAUGAAAUAAUUCAAACUACUCUUCUAAUCUUUCCAUGAGUGAUUUCCAUCACUUUGAUUGUUACAGUUAAUUGAAACAUAUACUUCAUCAUCUGUGAAACAAAUAUUCCAUAACCGUAAACCAACUUGUGUUAAUAUUUUGUAAAAUUUACAAGUGAAUAUGUUUAAAGAGAGUGCUUUGUUGACCUCUUUUAUGUGCUAGAUGUCCUUUUGUUUUUGUGUUAGGUUGCUUAUAUUCAUAAACACAUGGUUAUUUUGUAUUUCAAAUGUUAUUAGUCAUCACCAGAGCACCUGUUUUCUUCAAACAGAAUCUUUUUAUGUGUGUAUGAAAGAUUAAAAUUCCAAUAAGAUAUUGUGUAUUAAUUACUGUUUUUAUAUGACAGGAUUAAUUAGCUGCUAUGGUGUUUCCAUCAUUCGUAUCUAGAAUCGAUCAGAUGGCAAGUGUCAUUCAGUUAAUGAUAUCGUUUUUAUCAUAGAAUAUUGAUUUUUCUCAUUUAUAAUUUUAGAGUAACGGUAUAAAGGAUGUCUGAUAACAAAUUACAGUUUCCGCUCACAGUGUGCACUGAUGGGGAAGAAUUUAUUAUCAAUAAAGAAGAAGAUCCAACAAGUCCCAAUCAGUUUCAUCAUGAUUAUGAUGGGGAUCGUGGACGAUCGAAAAGGAGGCGUAGAUGUGGACAGUGUGGACCAUGUCAGGUUAAGGAGAAUUGUAACAAAUGUAAUUUCUGUCUAAGAAGGGACGUUUUAAAACAGACUUGUAUAUAUAGAAAAUGUGUUUAUUUACGAUCAAAGCCAAAACCUUAUCCAAGUCCUCAAGGUGGGCAAGACUUUAAUCAAGUAACUUCGCCCCCACCAAGUCAGUCUGUUGUUAAAAAUAAUCGAACACCACCAGCAAGCAGUCUGCAGGACGGACCAAUUGUUUCUGGGCAUAAUGCCCAAAUAUCACAGACUUCUGCUGGGACAUUUAAUCCAUUCACACCGG
rnacentral:lncRNA from 1 species